AACCGUGUUAUGCUUCGAAAGGAACUCACGAUAGCUUCCUUGCUAUUGACCCUUCAAAGACAAGGUCAGGCAACGCCAUCUACAGGGAACCUUUGGGACAACAGUCAUAGUUCCAUGACCCAAGUCUUCAAUGAAAACGCUAUCAACAGUCUGAGUUAAUAUUGUAUUUGGCAUCAUUUAACAAGGACACUUUCAAGGAAAAGGGUGAUCCCAGGUGCAGCCCCGGCUGAGAAACACUGACUUACGGCGGGGGCUCCCUAACUGGCUGUAACUGCCUUCCGCUAAGUGGCCUAUGGGUUUCACUGUGCACAGUGGCAACCUCCCCUCGCCUGGAGGACAGAAGGCUCGUCCCUCAGCACUGGCAGCCCCUUGAGAUUUGAGUUGGCUGUGUUCUGGCUGAUCCCCCAGCUGGUGGCAUCACACCUCGCUCAUCUGUUGCACCUGCCUUUUAACAUGCUGCCGGAGUCCUCCAGCCCCCAACUGGCCUAUCACCUCUCCGGCUGGCAGGAUGCACCUGCAGAGCCUCUGCUGACAGUCCCCAGGUUACCUCUCAGAUCCCAUUCUCAUGCUCUGCAAUAAAGCAACAAACGCACUCAUCUGCUGGGUACACGCCCCCACCCAGGUGGAAA
rnacentral:lncRNA from 1 species